rnacentral:rRNA from 1 species
UACGUAGGGUCCGAGCGUUGUUCGGAAUUACUGGGCGUAAAGCGCACGUAGGCGGCUUUGCAAGUUAGAGGUGAAAGCCCGGGGCUCAACUCCGGAAUUGCCUUUAAAACUGCAUCGCUAGAAUUGUGGAGAGGUAAGUGGAAUUCCGAGUGUAGAGGUGAAAUUCGUAGAUAUUCGGAAGAACACCAGUGGCGAAGGCGACUUACUGGACACAUAUUGACGCUGAGGUGCGAAAGCGUGGGGAGCAAACAGG